rnacentral:rRNA from 1 species
UACGUAGGGGGCUAGCGUUGUCCGGAUUUAUUGGGCGUAAAGAGCGUGUAGGCGGCCAGGUAGGUCUGCUGUGAAAACUCGAGGCUCAACCUCGAGACGUCGGCGGAAACCAUCUGGCUAGAGUCCGGAAGAGGCGAGUGGAACUCCUGGUGUAGCGGUGGAAUGCGCAGAUAUCAGGAAGAACACCGACGGCGAAGGCAGCUCGCUGGGACGGUACUGACGCUGAGGCGCGAAAGCAUGGGGAGCGAACAGG